rnacentral:rRNA from 1 species
UCUCAGGUAUAAAUCAAUCAUUUUACCAGAGUACUACGAACACCAAGUUUAAAACUCAAAGAGCUUGGCGGUGCUUUAGACUUCUCAGGGGAACCUGUCUCGUAAUCGACAGUCCACGAACCAACCUCACCUUUUCUUGUAAACCAGUAUGUAUACCGUCGUCGCCAGGUAACUUUUAAAAAUAUAGAAGUUAGCAACUAAACAACAUUACUUCUCACGUCAGAUCAAGGUGCAGCUCAUGAAAAGGAGUAGAUGGGUUACAAUUAAAAUUCAUAACUACGGAUUCAACCCCUAACAGGUUUUUAAAGGAGGACUUGAAAGUAAAGCCCAGAAGCUAAAUGUCUUGAAUAAAGCUCUGAAGCG